UUGAUACGAUUGUAUUACGACUGUUACUGCUUAGUACAAGGGGUUUGUGGGGUCCUCAUUGGCGGGCGAGCCCGCCGAGGAAACAAGAAGUGCUCAAGAGACAGGGUGUCCCGACGAGUCGGGGGCGGGGGAGACCCCCGCCUAUUGUGUAAUGAUCCUUCCGCAGGUUCACCUACGGAAA
rnacentral:misc_RNA from 1 species